UACGUAGGGUGCGAGCGUUAAUCGGAAUUACUGGGCGUAAAGCGUGCGCAGGCGGUUUUGUAAGCCAGAUGUGAAAUCCCCGGGCUUAACCUGGGAAUGGCAUUUGGGACUGCAAGGCUCGAGUGCGGCAGAGGAGACUGGAAUUCCUGGUGUAGCAGUGAAAUGCGUAGAUAUCGAGAGGAACACCUGCGGCGAAGGCGGGUUGCUGGGCUGACACUGACGCUGAUGUGCGAAAGCUAGGGGAGCGAACGGG
rnacentral:rRNA from 1 species